rnacentral:rRNA from 1 species
CUACCUUUAGGGAUUGAUCGGUUGCUUCCUUAAUCGAUGAAAAGCGGAGCUAGCUCCGUUAUUUACCACGAAUUGCGAACGCUUUGAGUGGCAAAAUCUUGAAUGCACAGCACCGCUGGCUUCGGCUAACGGUACGUCUGCAUCAGGGAAG